UAAACAUGGCGGCGGGAAGCGAGGGCUGCGUGCUGCGGCGCGGCUUGAUGGGAGCUGUAGUUCCCGCCGCACCUCUAAAAAGGCUGGGCAUAGGCAGACGCUGUCCUGUGGGAUCAUUUGGUUGCUGCUUCUUCUCAAGGUCAUGUGGAGCUACUGAAUUGGGCAAAACAACUGCAGGAGAUCUUGGAGUUCAGUCCUGAUGAAAUCCUGAAUCUGCCAGAAAAAGGAUACAGAUGAAGUAGGUGCAUCAAUCUGCAGGCCUGAGCACAGGGUUUGCAACCGUUGCCACCAUUCCUGUUCAGAGCUGCCUUCCUCUCCUUCACCUGCUCUUCCAUUCUGAGGUAGGAGCCACUCUGUGGGCCCUGGGGGAAUGGAAGUGACGAGGAUUUCCAUCAGCUCGAGUCGACAUGGAAGGAUGUGACUUGCUGUACAGAGUGAUGGAGGAGUCGGAGUGGUGUUAUGGCUGAAGACCCUAGGCCUGGGGAGAGGAGAAGAAAAGUGGGGAGAGCUGUUCUGGGAUCCCAGCUCUUCAUUUGGCCCCUGUUAACAUGAGCAAGUUACAUCCCUGCUCCCAAUCUCCUCACUCUCUUCUUCACGUGAGUUGCUUAGGGCAGGAACUGUUUCUCAUUAUGCUGUUGUGUCUUGUAUGGGGAGGCCUUGACCUUGGUGGGGGCACCAAUCAUUACUGUUACACAAAUGCCAGAGGAACAAAGAAUUAUGGAAUCAGAUAGUCACAGAUAUCAGUUUGUCCCUUUCUGGAUUUUUAUUCCUUUGUCUCCUCCUCCACAAGAAUGGAUUUGACACAGGGAACGUUGAUUCCUCUGUAGCACUGCCACAUCUCUCCUUUUCUCCCCAUUCAAGUCCUCCUUGAAGCAAGUGAAAAGAUUCCCACCAAAAUACACUGGAAAUGGACCGGGCUCUUCAAAGGCAAGAAGCACAGUUUUGACAUUGUUUAGAGUAUACUGGGAGCCCAGCAAGGUCACCCAUUCUAUUUCAAGGCUAGAUGUUUGAUAGGGGAGGUUUCCCACAAUGCUUGUGUCCACAGAGGCUCAAUAUGUCCAUGCCACCCUCUCUGGCUAGUGCAGGCUUAUUCUUCCCCUCCUACAUUUGCAGGUGGGGUUUCCUGAGUGCCCUGCUGAGCAUUGGUGUCACAAUGGCUAGCAGAGCAUGGAAGGAGUGAGCUGUGGAGAGGCUGCCAGGAGCUUCCCAACCCAUGCGAAAGUUGCUGUUUCCUUCUUCCCGGUGUGUGCUGCCAAGCAAGCUGCUUGUUAUGCUGAGGCCACAAUAUUCUUCAACAUCAACAGUGUCUGGGGUAAGUCAACACUUUUUCUGCUAAGAAUUACCAGAGGAAGAAAAGCAAUGCAUACAUUCCCUUCCUGUGCAGUAUGACAGCAGUGGUGGUCACCGAGAGUACUGCUGGCUGCUCUGUUCUAUGGUAGGCAGAGUGCAUGAGUGGGCAGCAGUAGCACUCAGGAAUGUGUCGUUCCCCUUGCUAGCAGAAGUUCAUAAGAUGAGAGUGUUGAGAAUGAGACCCUUGAAGAGAGAAGCUGGAAGGGCUGGAACCAGUCUUUUCUUUUCCUCUGGGAGGUGGCACAGCAUGUUCUGGAUAAUCACUUCAUGCUGCUUGGGAGUGGUGCGUAGCUUAGUUUCUCUUUAGUAGUCUUAAUUGUGUGUUAAGGUGCCUAGAGCCUUAUACUGGCACCUUUAUUUAUUUAAAUACAAAUGAAGAAGGCAUUAAAUCAAUUGUUCUUUUCUCUUUGCUCUCUCUUGUCCUAUGGUUUCUAUCAAGUACUCCUAACUGUAUGAGGCUUCUGCUUUUUCAGGUGAAUCAGGUACACCAAACAAGAAUCCCAGCCUUGAUUUCCUACAGACUAAGGGAAGGGAAGCUGCUCUGAGGCAGCACACCUUACAUUGCUGUUCAUCUUAUGCUGCUGUUUCAUUUAUAUUUCAGGGCACUUCCUAACCUUUGCUGAGCAAGGCUUCAGUCUGUUACCCCCUGCCUGCCCAACCUUCCUGCAAUGCAGAAAUAAACAAAGAAAAAAGCUGUGCCAUAUCCCAUUAGUUGAGAUCAAAAUACAGUUCUCUUAUCCCAUCAGCUGCGCUGCUUUCAGCUGGAUGUGCCAAAUCUAUGUGACUUGCUUGCCCCAUCUAUUAUAUUAAUCUCUAGGUCCUAAAGUUAGAGGGGAAACCUGGGAUUCCUGGAUUUUGUCAUUCUCCUUGAACAGAAAGUUUGUAACUGAAUGGCAAACGAGGCCCUCUCUUCUUGCCAAACUCCGUAAAAGAUAAUUACUGCUGGAGUUCAAGUGGUGGCAUGUUUUGCAAGAGAUCUAGAAGCCUAGUAUGCAACCUUCCAGAUAGACACUAAUUGUGCCUAUGAUUACCCUCCUCCUUUUUUUGUUCUCAGCAAUUUAAUAAAUUCACACACUGAAAACUUGUUGGAAAACUAAAAUGUCGUUCAAAAAUCUGCUUAUUGCGGUGUAUCGGAGAACACAAUACCUGUAUUCUGAUUUUGAGUCAUCUGUGAAGCUUAUGGACUGGUGGACUCACAAGCUGAGAAGUUUGCUUAUGGUAAUUAGGUGAUGGUAGCAUGAUGAAGGCAGAUUUGCAGGUUUCCAGAGGUGUGACUAUAUAUCUGUGCUGAGGAGAGGUCAGAGCAAGGGACACUUCAUUAUGGAUUGGAUUCCCUCUGAUGGAAGUCCGUAAGUUUCCUCUUAAGCACUGACUUUUCAUUGUGGUGAUGUCUCCUACAGAUGGAUGCAGGCCUCUUUGCCUGGCCUAAAUUCUAUAGUACUUACCUCAUUACUCUCCUAAUGAUGAGCUGACAAAUGCUUUUGCUUGAUUUACUGGUGACAUUACAGGUGUUUGGAACACUUGUCAGUACCUUCCUACUACAUGUCUAAUCUUUCAAACAGUGAGAUGUGCUAGCUUCCUUCAUAAAAUGUCCUUCUGCAUUUAACUGCCAUGGGCUUUAUUGCAUGCACCCAAAACUUCCAGAGCUCUGCCUUAAGAUGCCCCCCUCCAGAAAAAAAACAGCAGGCACUGUGUGCAGAUGUUGACAUCACUGGACUUUGGAUAAGGAGAAAUGGGUGAAGAAAUAGCAGAAAUGGGUGAAGAAAGAGCAGCCUUCCAAUUGCUUGUGGAACCAUGGUGGUACAUCAUCAGUCCUGAGAUGGGUCAGAACAGAGUCCUCAUCCCACCAAGUUCCUGGGUGCAACAGUCUGCAGCACAGGUUUGUGUUCUGCCUUCUGCCUCUCCUGUAUUUCUCAUUUUAAAGCAGAAAAGGGUGUUUGCUGGUCAGACUCCCAGAGAAUGGACUUUACUAAACCCUGUAUAAGUAGAGUGCUGAGUUCAAACAGGGCAAUUGGGUAGAGCAAGCAGGACAGGUGAGAGAUCUCUAGGCAUCUCACAGCAAUGGAAGAGGAACUGCUUGGAAGGGGAAGAACAUCCACAUUUCGCGCACAUUUCUUCCCCAGUUGGGCAGAGCUCUUACUGCUCUUCUUCUGGUUGUGUUGCUAGGAGAGGAGUGCUCUGCCCUCCUUAUGGCUAUGAAUAGCUCGCUCUUGUUUAUUCAGCUCAGCUCCGCCUGCUGGUUACAACCACAACCGGCACCAUCUCAUUGCAUGACACCACCAUAAAACAAUGCAACUGCAACAGGAACAAUCCCUCCCCCCUCUACUCCCCCCCCUCCCGCCUCUGGCUAUGAAGGCUUAAGAACACCUUUAUAGUGCACUGCUUCAGAGCUGUCCUUUCCCUCCUCUUCCCGUACUUCACAGUGCAUCCCCUCUGCUUCCAGCAGAAAGGUCUCUAAAAGCAGCUGAACGGUGCGCUCUCAUUCCCAGAGAGCAAGACUGAGAGCCAGGACCUGCAAAUCAGGGCAUUAUCUCGGAAAUCUGGCUUGAAAUAAGUGCACGAUCAUUUCAGAGUCCUCCUCUGGUAUUCCAGUGUUUGAGGCUUUUGGGAACUAGAAAAGUGACUUUUCCUUUUUUAGUGAAAGCUGAGAUUCUUGCAUAAACCCAUGAAUCCAGCACCAGGGACUUUAAGAAAAGGAACAGAUGGUUUGAAAAUUGGCAAUAAUGGGAUUUCUGAGGUUUUCUUAAGAAUAUUUUAUCUGAGGUCUGACCAGGAAUGAAGCAUCUAUGGCAAUGGCAUUAGGCUGCAUUGACAGAGGAGAAAACUAAUGGGGCUGAGUAAAAGACCCCCCAAAGUGCAGUAAAAUGUGACCAAGUACAACAUUUCAAAACCUCUGCUACAAGGGACAGAGGGACAGCCAACAUGCACGACCAGCUGAUGCGCUGUGAGGAGGGAUGUGUACGUGUGGACAAGCAGAGCCACACCAGUUCAGAGGAACGUUUGCUCAAGAACCCCUAUCUUUCUGAGCCACCUGGGCACUCAGCUAAGAAGAACGAGCACGAGGUGAGGCAUAGCAGCAGAGAGCAGAAGAGGUGUGAACGGUUGCUGCACAGGUACAGGUGAAUCAAUCUGUCUUUUUCAGCAUGGUGAGCUUCCACGUGUGCAUAUUUCCCCGGACUUCUCAUCUUUCUCUACCUGGGAACUUUGUUGGGGUGAAAUUGGAAUAUCAGAGUUUCCACAUGCCCAUCGGGUCUGUCAGAUAGCUGGGCUGCUGAACAUCCAGAAAUUCAGGAUAGGUCAAUCGCACGCCGGCGAGGUGAACUGUGUAGCAUACAAGCGCUGAAACACAACGCCUAACGAAUCCCCACACUGUCAGACCUGCUGUGCGGGUGAUCUGCCUGUGUGCCUUGCAGAGGUGUCUGGUCUACUGGGCAUGCACAGGUCUGUAUGGUGCAAGUGUGUGUACUCCUGUUUGGGACACAAGACAAGCACAAUACUAUUGUUUUUUUACUCAUUCUUGAUACAUUUGUAGAGGAGGUGGGAGAUGAAUGCUUCAGUGCAGUGGAAAAAGGAAGCAGGUAUGUAUGUAAGCUAGACUAUCUCACUGUCUGCCUCUUUACAGGAGCCAUCUCAUCACUUUAACUAGAGUUGGGGUCCUAUCAUACAAGAUAGUGUACAUGAACAUGCAGAAAAUGUUUUAUCUCUCUCCCCCCCAAGCAAACAAACUCACCAAACAUCAUACAGUCUGAAUUAACAGAAGUGGCAGUAAGGGAUAUUAUAAUUCCUACUUGACAGACAGGGAAAUUAAUCCCAGAUAUGAGUCAAACAAAGCUCUUGAUCUCAUGAAGCAGGAUUCAGAUGAAUUUCAGAUACUUGUGAGCAAGGUAUGAUGCUGCAAAGCCUUGCUCAGCUGAUGCCUAGUUCUGGGAAUGCCCAGAGCCCUCAGGCCCAUCCGCUUUGACUGUGAGACCCCUGGCUUCAGCAGCUCUGCUCUGUACUUGUCCUCCUGCUUGACAAAGCUUAGCACAGCAGCAGGCGAAUCCAGAAACAAAAUGCUUCUGUGCCUCCAAGAGCAUGCCUCCAGGAUGGGCACUGUACAGAAUCGCUAGGCUGAUGCUUCCUGGUAAGGUGCAGCAUCCAGCCAGGUUAAAGUACUCCUGGAAGAUUCAGAAGCCCCAGCCUGUGCUGCCUGUUCUGCCCCUGGCGUUUCCAGUCUGUGUCUCCCGUGGAAGUGCUCCAGCUUCUGAGCCGCGCCUGUUUGAGGAGAGAGGGCAUGCUUACCUCUCCUGCCAACGGCGUUGUGGCUUCCCUAGGCAUACACUGGGGUGGAAGCAUCUGCAGGGAUCAGCACCCUGCUUGUUCCGCGUUUCACCUGAGGAGAGGGGGAUGCCCACGUCCCAGUCCACCCUCAGGUGACCGCUUCUGAAUUUUAUCUCGCAUCUCUUUAAUGUAAAAUUCAGAGACAAGCACCCUGCGAAGGGACCUGUGUUUUCCUUCGUAAGUGGAGUGCCGUGAGAUCAAUGAGAUUAAACAUGUGCUUACACGCUGUCCUGAAUUGGGGCCAUGAGGAGAGCAAUGGGAAAGUAAACAGAAGAGAAACGUUAUGGAAAUGAAGGAAGAGGGAAAAUCCACCCUGCCAGGAGCGGCAGCUCUCAUCAGCUGCAAGAAGACAUGGUCUCAUCCAGGGCUGGUUAGACUCUAGCAGGUCUAGGGGCUGGCAGAGAGGACGAAGUCAUCUUCACUGAGGUACAAAAGCAGCCUAAAAAGUGAGACUGGGAGCGGCCAAGAGAGGCUGUUUCUGCUGGGUGCAGCCUUCCUAGACAAGGUGAGUUUAGCCCUGGGUUGUUUUUUCCCAUUAGCAGAAUGUGGAUCUGAAAAUAAUCAGGCUUCAACCUGGCAGCCUGGGGAGGUUUGUUCUCCCUUAAAAGACUGUAUGAAAAGAUGUAGAAAUCCUGAGCUUUUUAGGAUGGCUCGAGUGGACCCCAGCCUUUAUGGCACCCUGACAAGACCCAGGUCCCUCAUUCAGAAACAAACUGUGCUCAGCUCCACUCAGGGCAGAAUUCCGGCACCGUGAAGUGGCUUUGGUGUACAGAGAUAUGGAGCCUUUGUGCACAGUGGUUUUCCAGCCUGGCUGCGCUUCCCCCAGCCCGUUCCUCUCUCCAUCUACAGCCAUUCUUGGUCACAGUCUUUCUUCCUUGCUUGACCUUCAUUUCUCUUUCCCAGGAAACACAUCAUUUGCAUCUGUCCUAGUAUCCGAACUGCAAAUUGGACCUGAUUAAAAUUCUUCACAGAGCAACAUGGACUAGUACAGAACUUCUAUUAUUCUACGACUCAAUAAAACUUUAGAGUUUCGGGAGAUUGCUGGAGCUCUGUGUUUGGGAGGUGACUUCACUGUUGGUCUCUUAAAUUCAGAACCAUGCAUUCUCCUUUCUGUUGCAUUUUUGCAAGAUGACCUUGGUAGGUCACUUUGUCUGACUGACUUUGUUUUACCCCUCGUUAAAUUUAGAUAAAAAUACUUGCUCAAGUUAGUGAAGUGUCUGCUAUCGUUGGACAAAAAAGCUAUCUAAAUGGCGAUUAUUGUGAUUAUAAUAAUUAUUAAAUG